GUGGGAGGAAGCUCACUCCAGAGGUUCACAAACUGAGUGUCCAUCACUCCACCCACAACCUUGGGGAAGGUCUGAGACAAGAGCCAAUCACUGCCCUCGCAGGGUGUCACUGAUCCAGGUGGAGUGAUGACCCAGAGAAGCUGGAGCUGAUGGAGGUUCAGGUAGGAGGAAUAGUGCUGGGUGUGGUGAGUUAGCAGGGAGUAACGACGUCGAGCUUGAGAGAGCGGAAGGAGAAGUCCUGAAAUUUGAGCGAGGAUAUCCGAAGGUUGACACCCCCAGCCUACACAUUGAACUCUGUUUUCCAGCCCUU
rnacentral:lncRNA from 1 species